UGUCUUUUUGAUUAUAAUUUAAGGUUUAAUCUGCUCAAUGAUUAUUUAAAUUGCCGCAGUAUUUUGACUGUGCAAAGGUAGCAUAAUAAUUAGUUUCUUUAUUGGGAACUGGAAUGAAUGAUUGGACGAGAAAAUUUCUGUCUCUUUAUUAUUUUAAUUGAAUUUUACUUUUAAGUUAAAAGGCUUAAAUUUUAUUAGAGGACGAGAAGACCCUAUAGAGUUUAAUUUUUAUUUAAAUAAUUAUUUUUAGUAUUUAUAUAUAUUAUUUAAAUAAAAAUUUAGUUGGGGUGACUAAAAGAUAAGAAUAACUCUUUUAAUUUUUAUCAAUUAUUUUUGAUUAUAAAAUCUUUAUUUUUAAUUUUAAAAUAAAUUACCUUAGGGAUAACAGCGUAAUUCUUUUUUAAAGUUCUUAUUAAAAGAAGAGUUUGCGACCUCGAUGUUGGAUUAAAAUUAAUUUUAGGUGUAGAAGCUUGAAAAUUAAGUCUGUUCGACUUUUAAAAUUUUACAUGAUCUGAGUUUAAACCGGUGUGAGCCAGGUUGGUUUCUAUCCUUAAUUAUAUAUUAUACU
rnacentral:rRNA from 1 species